AUGAAUGGCCUCUGGGCCUUCAACCUUGCAAACCUGUGGAAAGCAACAUGUGCUUCGGCGCUUCGGCGCCGCUUUUAUGCUACGAAUCAGUCUUUGUGUCUGAAUCAAACAAAAGAAAUA
rnacentral:misc_RNA from 1 species